rnacentral:rRNA from 1 species
GACGAACGCUGGCGGCGUGCCUAAUACAUGCAAGUCGAGCGAAUGGAUGGGAGCUUGCUCCCUGAAGUUAGCGGCGGACGGGUGAGUAACACGUGGGCAACCUGCCUGUAAGACUGGGAUAACUUCGGGAAACCGGAGCUAAUACCGGAUACAUUCUUUCUUCGCCUGAAGAAAGAUGGAAAGAUGGUUUCGGCUAUCACUUACAGAUGGGCCCGCGGCGCAUUAGCUAGUUGGUGAGGUAACGGCUCACCAAGGCAACGAUGCGUAGCCGACCUGAGAGGGGGAUCGGCCACACUGGGACUGGGACACGGCCCAGACUCCUACGGGAGGCAGCAGUAGGGAAUCUUCCGCAAUGGACGAAAGUCUGACGGAGCAACGCCGCGUGAGCGAAGAAGGCCUUCGGGUCGUAAAGCUCUGUUGUUAGGGAAGAACAAGUACCAGAGUAACUGCUGGUACCUUGACGGUACCUAACCAGAAAGCCACGGCUAACUACGUGCCAGCCGCCGCGGUAACAC